UGGGCGUAAAGCGAGCGCAGGCGGUUAGAUAAGUCUGAAGUGAAAGGCAGUGGCUCAACCCAUUGUAGGCUUUGGAAACUGUUUAACUUGAGUGCAGAAGGGGAGAGUGGAAUUCCAUGUGUAGCGGUGAAAUGCGUAGAUAUAUGGAGGAACACCGGUGGCGAAAGCGGCUCUCUGGUCUGUAACUGACGCUGAGGCUCGAAAGCGUGGGGAGCGAACAGGAUUAGAUACCCUGGUAGUCCACGCCGUAAACGAUGAGUGCUAGGUGUUAGGUCCUUUCCGGGACUUAGUGCCGCAGCUAACGCAUUAAGCACUCCGCCUGGGGAGUACGACCGCAAGGUUGAAACUCAAAGGAAUUGACGGGGGCCCGCACAAGCGGUGGAGCAUGUGGUUUAAUUCGAAGCAACGCGAAGAACCUUACCAGGUCUUGACAUCCCGAUGCCCGCUCUAGAGAUAGAGCUUUACUUCGGUACAUCGGUGACAGGUGGUGCAUGGUUGUC
rnacentral:rRNA from 1 species